rnacentral:rRNA from 1 species
AUUGAACGCUGGCGGCAGGCCUAACACAUGCAAGUCGAACGGUAGCACAGAGAGCUUGCUCUCGGGUGACGAGUGGCGGACGGGUGAGUAAUGUCUGAGAAACUGCCCGAUGGAGGGGGAUAACUACUGGAAACGGUAGCUAAUACCGCAUAACGUCGCAAGACCAAAGUGGGGGACCUUCGGGCCUCACACCAUCGGAUGUGCCUAGAUGGGAUUAGCUAGUAGGUGGGGUAAUGGCUCACCUAGGCGACGAUCCCUAGCUGGUCUGAGAGGAUGACCAGCCACACUGGAACUGAGACACGGUCCGGACUCCUACGGGAGGCAGCAGUGGGGAAUAUUGCACAAUGGGCGCAAGCCUGAUGCAGCCAUGCCGCGUGUAUGAAGAAGGCCUUCGGGUUGUAAAGUACUUUCAGCGGGGAGGAAGGCGGUGGAGUUAAUAGCUUCACCGAUUGACGUUACCCGCAGAAGAAGCACCGGCUAACUCCGUGCCAGCAGCCGCCGUAA